AGAGUUUGAUCCUGGCUCAGAUUGAACGCUGGCGGCAGGCCUAACACAUGCAAGUCGAGCGAGAAAGCACUUCGGUGUGAGUAGAGCGGCGGACGGGUGAGUAACGCGUAGGAAUUUGCCCAGUAGUGGGGGACAACAUGUGGAAACGCAUGCUAAUACCGCAUACGCCCUAAGGGGGAAAGCAGGGGAUCUUCGGACCUUGCGCUAUUAGAUAAGCCUGCGUGGGAUUAGCUAGUUGGUGAGGUAAAGGCUCACCAAGGCGACGAUCUCUAGCUGGUCUGAGAGGAUGAUCAGCCACACUGGAACUGAGACACGGUCCAGACUCCUACGGGAGGCAGCAGUGGGGAAUAUUGGACAAUGGGAGCAACCCUGACGGAGCGAUGCCGCGUGAAUGAUGAAGGCCCUAGGGUUGUAAAGCUCUUUCAACGGUGAAGAUAAUGACGGUAACCGUAGAAGAAGCCCCGGGUAACUCCGUGCCAGCAGCCGCGGUAAUACGGAGGGGGCUAGCGUUGUUCGGAAUUACUGGGCGUAAAGCGCACGUAGGCGGUGUAACAAGUUAGAGGUGAAAGGCCUGGGCUCAACCUGGGAACUGCCUUUAAUACUGUUAUACUAGAGUCCGGGAGAGGGUAGCGGAAUUCCAAGUGUAGAGGUGAAAUUCGUAGAUAUUUGGAAGAACACCGGUGGCGAAGGCGGCUACCUGGACCGGCACUGACGCUGAGGUGCGAAAGCGUGGGGAGCGAACAGGAUUAGAUACCCUGGUAGUCCACGCCGUAAACGAUGAGUGCUAGUUGUUGGGGUCUUAGACUUCAGUGACGCAGCUAACGCGUUAAGCACUCCGCCUGGGGAGUACGGCCGCAAGGUUAAAACUCAAAGGAAUUGACGGGGGCCCGCACAACCGGUGGAGCAUGUGGUUUAAUUCCAAGCAACGCGCAGAACCUUACCAGCUCUUGACAUACCUAUCGCGGAUUUCCGAGAGGAUUUCCUUCAGUUCGGCUGGAUAGGAUACAGGUGCUGCAUGGCUGUCUUCAGCUCGUGUCGUGAGAUGUUGGUUAAGUCCCGCAACGAGCGCAACCCUCGCCCCUAGUUGCCAUCAGGUUAAGCUGGGCACUCUAUGGGAACUGCCGGUGACAAGCCGGAGGAAGGUGGGGAUGACGUCAAGUCCUCAUGGCCCUUACGGGCUGGGCUACACACGUGCUACAAUGGCGGCGACAAAGGGUCGCGACCCAGCGAUGGGAAGCUAAUCUCUAAAAACCGUCUCAGUUCGGAUUGUUCUCUGCAACUCGAGAGCAUGAAGUUGGAAUCGCUAGUAAUCGCGGAUCAGCAUGCCGCGGUGAAUACGUUCCCGGGCCUUGUACACACCGCCCGUCACACCAUGGGAGUUGGUUUUACCCGAAGGCAGUGCGCUAACCGUUCGGACGCAGCCGACCACGGUAAGGUCAGCGACUGGGGUGAAGUCGUAACAAGGUAACC
rnacentral:rRNA from 1 species